rnacentral:rRNA from 1 species
UCUCAUCCUGGGGCUGGAGCAGGUCCCAAGGGUACGGCUGUUCGCCGUUUAAAGAGGUACGUGAGCUGGGUUUAGAACGUCGUGAGACAGUUCGGUCCCUAUCUGCCGUGGGUGUAGGAUACUUGAGAGGAGUUGCCCCUAGUACGAGAGGACCGGGGUGAACGAACCACUGGUGGACCAGUUGUCGUGCCAACGGCAGUGCUGGGUAGCUAUGUUCGGACAGGAUAACCGCUGAAGGCAUCUAAGCGGGAAGCCCCCCUCAAAACAAGGUAUCCCUGAGGGCCGAGGUAGACCACCUCGUCAAUAGGCCAGAGAUGUAAGCGUGGUAACACGUUCAGUUGACUGGUACUAAUCGCCCGAUUGGCUUGAUC